AGCGGCGGACGGGUGGAGUAACGACGUGGGUAACCGUGCCUCAGUACAGGGGGAGUAACAGUUAGAAAUGACUGCUAAUACCGCAUAAGCGCACAGGACUGCAUGGUCGAGUGUGAAAAACUACCGGUGGUAUGAGAUGGACCCGCGUCUGAUUAGCUAGUUGUGGGGUAACGGGCCUCCCAAGGCGACGAUCAGUAGCCGACCUGAGAGGGUGACCGGCCACAUUGGGACUGAGACACGGCCCAAACUCCUACGGGAGGCAGCAGUGGGGAAGUAUUGCACAAUGGGGGAAACCCGUCGAUGCAGCGACGCCGCGUGAGUGAAGAAGUAUUUCGGUAUGUAAAGCUCUAUCAGCAGGGAAGAAAAUGACGGUACCUGACUAAGAAGCCCCGGCUAACUACGUGCCAGCAGCCGCGGUAA
rnacentral:rRNA from 1 species